AUUGAACGCUGGCGGCAUGCCUAACACAUGCAAGUCGAACGAGUGGCGGACGGGUGGAUAAUGGAUGGAAAACUGCCUAAUGUAGUGGUCUAACUAGUGGAACCUUUAGCUAAUACCGCAUACCAUCCUUUCGGCCGAGAUGGGAUUAGCUAGUAGGUGUGGUAAAGGCUCACCAAGGCGACGAUCCCUAGCUGGUCUGAGAGGAUGACAAGCCACACUGGAACUGAGAAACGGUCCAGACUCCUACGGGAGGCAGCAGUGGGGAAUAUUGGACAAUGGGCGAAAGCCUGACCAAGCCAUGCCGCGUGAAUGAAGAAGGCUUGCGGGUCGUAAAGUCCUUUCAGCGGGGAGGCGUUAACCAACGAAGAAGCAACGGCUAACUACGUGCCAGCAGCCGCGGUAAUUC
rnacentral:rRNA from 1 species